rnacentral:rRNA from 1 species
GAUGAACGCUGGCGGUCUGCUUAACACAUGCAAGUCGAACGGAAUCCUUCGAGAUUUAGUGGCGGACGGGUGAGUAACGCGUGAGAAUCUGCCUUCAGGUUCGGGACAACAGCUGGAAACGGCUGCUAAUACCGGAUGUGCCGAGAGGUGAAAGCUUUAGUGCCUGAAGAUGAGCUCGCGUCUGAUUAGCUAGUAGGAGUGGUAAUGGCACCCCUAGGCGACGAUCAGUAGCUGGUCUGAGAGGAUGAUCAGCCACACUGGGACUGAGACACGGCCCAGACUCCUACGGGAGGCAGCAGUGGGGAAUUUUCCGCAAUGGGCGCAAGCCUGACGGAGCAAGACCGCGUGAGGGAAGAAGGUCUGUGGAUUGUAAACCUCUUUUGAUGGGGAAGAAGACAGUGACGGUACCCAUCGAAUCAGCCUCGGCUAACUCCGUGCCAGCAGCCGCCGUAA